AGUGGAGCUUAAUCAAAAUUAUUUUUUGUGGCAAUCAACAUUAUGCCAAAAGUGCUUUCGAUUAAGCUUCACUUGUAUUGAACUCACCAUAUUCACCAACCCCCUAUGUUUGUGUUGACAGGAAAGUUGU